rnacentral:misc_RNA from 1 species
AGCAGCCGCGGUAAUUCCAGCUCCAAUAGCGUAUAUUAAAGUUGUUGCAGUUAAAAAGCUCGUAGUUGAAUUUCGGGAUCAAUAUUUCGGUCAUGCCGUUGGUAUGCACUGUUAUCAUUGAUUUCUCACCUUCUAAAGAACCGUAAUGCCAUUAAUUUGGUGUUACGGGGAAUUAGGACUGUUACCUUGAAAAAUUAGAGUGUUUAAAGCAGGCUCACGCUUGAAUACAUUAGCAUGGAAUAAUGAAAUAGGACAUCCGAUUCUAUUUUGUUGGUUUCUAGGAUCGAUGUAAUGAUUAAUAGGGAUAGUUGGGGGCAUUAGUAUUCAAUUGUCAGAGGUGAAAUUCUUGGAUUUAUUGAAGACUAACUACUGCGAAAGCAUUUGCCAAGGAUGUUUUCAUUAAUCAAGAACGAAAGUUAGGGGAUCGAAGACGAUCAGAUACCGUCGUAGUCUUAACCAUAAACUAUGCCGACU